rnacentral:misc_RNA from 1 species
GAAAGGCGAAACGUAAUGUGAAUCGCAACUAACAGUGAAUCAUCGAAUCUUUGAACGCACAUUGCGCCCUCUGGUAUUCCGGGGGGCAUGCCUGUCCGAGCGUCAUUGCGAACCCCUCAAGCACGGCUUGUGUGAUGGGCCCUCCCGCGUCUUGGUCGUCAAGACGGGCCCGAAAUGCAGUGGCGGCUUCGCGGUUAUCCGAUCAGCCAGAGCGUAUGGGGACUUUCUCUCUGUCACACGCCCGCGGCGCGGACCGACGCCUGUCGACCUUUAUUCAUCUUUUUCUCGGUUGACCUCGGAUCAGGUAGGGAUACCCGCUGAACUUAAGC